GGCCCCCGUGUGCUCCUGCGCGGGUUCUGGGCGGGGGGAACCCCCAGAACUUUGGAGCCAGCGGCGGGCUUGGGCCCUGUCCUCGCCGCCCCGAGGCGCUCAGCUUCUUUCUGAGUGUUCCACCAGGCUCGGCAGGGUCGAGGUCGCAGGCUGGAGGUCCCCUGAUAGCUGAGGGGCUCGAGGGUGCCUCCAGUCUCCCACCCGAAGUCCCCCACCCGCUCUCCCGCGCCACCCCACUGGAACGUCGCCCCCUCACACAGGAAGCGAUGUGUCUGCCCAGAGGGGUCUCAGGACCUGUCCUUGCUCCUCCAAGGCCCACCUGGCCUGUGGCGCCCCUCGGGCCUGCGCUGCGUUCUCCUUUCGCCUCCCGGGCCUCUCCGCUGCCCCUCUCACCUGCCACAACUGCUUCCCUCGGUUCCCGCCCGGGGCCCGUGUCCUAGACCCGAAAUGCGCGCCCCACUCCUGGAGCCUCCAGUAUGUGAGAGGCACCUUUCCGUGGGGUCAGGGGCGCGGACUCGGAAGCCGGCCCAGCUUUGCCUGCGGGCUCCAAUCAUGCCCAGCUGGAGUCCUUCACCCCAGCCACAGCGGGCCUUCGCCUGUACUUCGGGGACGACAGGAUGGCCACCCUUCUCCCAAAGGUUUGCGGAUUUUGCUCCAUGCGAGAGAAGGUCUGCUUGUGCCACCUGCCUGCGCCACCAGCCCGCAGCUUUUCACAUGCUGCUGCGUUACAGGGCCCUCUGUGACCCUUCUCUAGGCCGAGAGGUACUUCGUCUCCGUUCCUGAGACACCAGAAUUUAUUCUUGGUUUGUCAAGCCACAUUUGUAGGAAUGUUGCCAAGUUGCCGCAGGCUGAGGUCUGGGACUUGCUCCUUUGGCGAACUGAGAAGUAAGGAUGGCAUUUUAGCAUUAAUGGAAACCAGAAGCACUCUUAGACCUGGGUAAGAGGGGCCCAAGAAUUAGCAAACAGUUGGAUUUCAUUGCUAGUAGACAUAACCUCCACGGUGCUUAGAGCAACGGCAUUUGAUUUGUUGGAUCACUUCAAAGACGACAUACUGGGUUGUUUUUGUUUCUGGAGGUGUCUAAGAUGGAACAUCUUGAAGCAUUUGGAAUUUGACCUGUGGUUAGUCUCAGAUACAAUGAUGGUGAAGACUGAAAGAAAAUCUGAAAAUCAGAAGGAUUGAAUGCAGAUGAGCAUCUAGAGCUAAAAUAUUGCUAAUGGCAGCAAAAGGGGGUACUGUGGAAGAAUAGCUCCUUAUGCACCCCACUUCACUGAAUGUCAUCCUGUUUGUCCCCUUCUUCGUUUCUGCCAGUAACAUAGAAGUCUAAAGCCUUGCAUUUUGUUUUUAAUGCUAACUAACGAAAUUCCAGAAGCAGGCCUUAAAAAUGCAAAGUCUUCGUAAUUAACAAAAGAGUUUAGAUAGAUGAAGGGCAUAUAUCCCCUUCUCUGUAGCUACAGCAACGGAGCUUUCUUUGCAUGUAAAACUUGUUCAACUACUCUGAAUUAAUAAAGGGCUAACUUGAGAGCAAAACCGGGAAUAUCCAUCUUGUUCUGUGCAACAGGGACACUUGGGAGGGUGUUCAUGACUGUAGCCAAUUAUUCUGGAAUAGGCCUACCCCAUCCCUGGAAGUAUAAUGAGAACAAGAAUCUUAGACUCCUUUAGGCUGGGCAUGGUGGCUCAUGCCUAUAAUCCCAGCAUCUGAGGCCAGGAGUUCAAGACCAGCCUGGCCAACAUGGUG